AUGUUGAAAACUGCAGCCACAUAUGAGAAGGUGUUCGAUAGGUAUGGCGAUGAUGACCCUUACUUUGCAACUGAGUUAAAUAGUGAGGAAGAGCCAGGAGUUCCUGAAGCUGCAGAUUGGGAGUAUGCAAGGAAGAUCUCAGAAUUUCUUGAGCCGUUUUAUAACCUCACUGUUCGUGUUUCAGCCUAUAAUCGUUGCACAUCUCACAUUUUUUUCCAUGAAAUUGCUGAUGUUUAUAUCUUGCUCAGAGAGUGGUGUGAGAGUACUGAUGCUUUGCGGAAGGAAAUGGCUGAAAGGAUGAUUGCUAAGUACAACAAGUAUUGGGGUGAUCAUGAGAGCUUCAACAUUCUGAUCUUUGUGGCAGUUGCUCUUGAUCCAAGGUACAAGUUGUCAGAUUACACAAGGUUUGCUACUUCUGAGAUGUUUGGUGAGAUCAAAGGAGAAGAAGUUUGGAAAAAGAUGAGUGAAACACUUGAUGACUUGUUUAAGGAGUAUGGCAAGAUGUAUGCUUCAAGUGAGAAGAAGGAAAUGGAAUCCGAUGUGGUGCAAGGCAUGAGCUUGAUGAGGUCCCUAAUUGCCAAGAGGAUGAGAAUGAACAACUCUGUGGUUGGUCCGACAAAGUCUGAACUUGAGAAAUAUCUUGCCGAGGAGACUGAAGCACACCCUGCCAAAUUUGAUAUUCUCCAGUGGUGGAAGGUCAAAUCUUCUAGAUUCCCAGUAUGA
rnacentral:rRNA from 1 species